rnacentral:rRNA from 1 species
AGUGAACGUUGGCGGCGUGGAUUAGGCAUGCAAGUCGAGCGAGAACCGUAGCAAUACGGGGACAGCGGCGAAAGGGACAGUAAUGUGUAGGUACCUACCCCGAGGUCUGGGAUAGCUGCGGGAAACUGCAGGUAAUACCGGAUAAUGUCUUCGGACCAAAGGUGUGAUUCCACCUUGGGAGGGGCCUGCAUCCUAUUAGCUAGUUGGGGAGGUAACGGCUCACCAAGGCGACGAUGGGUAGCGGGUGUGAGAGCACGACCCGCGUCAUUGGGACUGAGACCCUGCCCAGACACCAGCGGGUGGCUGCAGUCGAGGAUCUUCGGCAAUGGGCGAAAGCCUGACCGAGCGACGCCGCGUGUGGGAUGAAGGCCUUCGGGUUGUAAACCACUGUCGUAGAGGAGGAAAUGCAGGGGGGUUCUCCCUUCUGUUUGACCUAUUCUAGGAGGAAGUACGGGCUAAGUUCGUGCCAGCCGCCGCGGUAA